CUGAUUGAUCCUGUCAGCAGUAUUUGCUUGUUCAGAAGACUAAGCCAUGCAUGUAUAAGUUCACACCUUAGUACGGUGAAACCGCGAAUGGCUCAUUAAAUCAGCUAUUAUUUAUUAGAUCUUACAAGAUUACUUGGAUAACUGUAGUAAUUCUAGAGCUAAUACAUGAAUAUGUGCUUUGGUUCACGCCAAAUGCGAAUUUAUUAGAUCAAAACCAACCGGUUUCGGCCGUUAAAUUGGUGACUCUGGAUAACUAUUCUGAUCGCAUGACCUUGUGUCGGCGACGUAUCUUUCAAGUGUCUGCCCUAUCAACUUAAGUUGGUGAGUUAGUUGCUCACCAUGGUUAUAACGGGUAACGGAGAAUCAGUGUUCGAUACCGGAGAGGGAGCCUUAGAAACGGCUACCACAUCUAAGGAAGGCAGCAGGCGCGCAAAUUACCCACUCUCAGAACGAGGAGGUAGUGAAUUUAAAUAGCGAUGAUGAACUCUUAUGAGGCUCGUCAAUCGAAAUGAGUACAAUUUAAAUCCUUUAACGAGUACCAAUUGGAGGGCAAGUCUGGUGCCAGCAGCCGCGGUAAUUCCAGCUCCAAUAGCGAAUAUUAAAUUUGUUGCAGUUAAAAAGCUCGUAGUUGGAUCCAAGGUUAGGCAUGCCUGUCUGUUCUUAGUAGCAUGACUGUGUGUGUCUGCCUUUAUUAGUUGAAUGUUCAUUAUGGUGGUCUUCAUCGACUGCUAUGAUGUGCUCAACACGUUUACCUUGAAAAAAUCAGAGCGAUCAAGGCAGGCCUUCGUGCUUGUAUGUUGUUGCAAGGAAUAAUAGAAUAGGACUUCGGUUCUAUUUUGUUGGUUUUGAGAAUUGAAGUAAUGAACAAUAGAGACAGUCGGGGGCAUUUGUAUGGUGGCGUUAGAGGUGAAAUUCUGAGAUCGUCGCCAGACAAACUACUGCGAAAGCAUUUGCCAAGGAUGUCUUCAUUAAUCAAGAACGAAAGUCAGAGGUUCGAAGACGAUCAGAUACCGUCCUAGUUCUGACCAUAAACGAUGCCGACCUACAAUCGGGGGUGGUUUAUUAUAUUGACCCUCCCGGCUGUCCUCAGGAAACUUUAAGUUGGUUCUGGGGGGAAUAUGGUCUCAAGACUGAAACUUAAAGGAAUUGACGGAAGGGCACCACCAGGAGUGGAGCCUGCGGCUUAAUUUGACCCAACACGGGGAAUCUCACCCGGUCCGGACACUGGUAGGAUGGACAGAUUGAUAGCUCUUUCUUGAUUCAGUGGGUGGUGGUGCAUGGCCGUUCUUAGUUGGUGGAGUGAUUUGUCUGGUUAAUUCCGAUAACGAACGAGACUCUGUCCUGCUAAAUAGUCCAGUGGCAUCAAUCACUAUGUGAUUACAGCUGCUGUUACUUCUUAGAGGGAUUCGC
rnacentral:rRNA from 1 species